UCAAGUUUAUUACGUAAUACAUUAAAUUUUGAUGCAAAAACAUGUGAAACAAAAGAAUGCGAUGCACCAGUAUCAAUUAAAACAUGGGCAAGAUAGUUACAAAUAAUGUACAUAUCCUGUACCACGUCCGGGUUGGCUUCUGCAUCCUGCUGGGUGAGAUUGUAAGCUCUGCCCUGGAUAGGAGAUCUGCCCUGAUUUUGGUUCCUUGGGCACUCCCU
rnacentral:lncRNA from 1 species